GACAGAGGAUGCAAGCGUUAUCCGGAAUGAUUGGGCGUAAAGCGUCUGUAGGUGGCUUUUUAAGUCUGCCGUCAAAUCCCAGGGCUUAACCCUGGACAGGCGGUGGAAACUACCAAGCUGGAGUACGGUAGGGGCAGGGGGAAUUUCCGGUGGAGCGGUGAAAUGCGUAGAGAUCGGAAAGAACACCAACGGCGGAAGCACUCUGCUGGGCCGACACUGACACUGAGAGACGAAAGCUAGGGGAGCGAAUGGG
rnacentral:rRNA from 1 species